rnacentral:rRNA from 1 species
GACGAACGCUGGCGGCGUGCUUAACACAUGCAAGUCGAACGAUGAAGCUAGAGCUUGCUCUGGUGGAUUAGUGGCGAACGGGUGAGUAACACGUGAGUAACCUGCCCCGAACUCUGGGAUAACUGCUGGAAACGGUAGCUAAUACCGGAUAUGACCAAUGAAGGCAUCUUCUGUUGGUGGAAAGAAUUUCGGUUCGGGAUGGACUCGCGGCCUAUCAGCUUGUUGGUGAGGUAACGGCUCACCAAGGCGACGACGGGUAGCCGGCCUGAGAGGGUGGUCGGCCACACUGGGACUGAGACACGGCCCAGACUCCUACGGGAGGCAGCAGUGGGGAAUAUUGCACAAUGGGCGCAAGCCUGAUGCAGCGACGCCGCGUGAGGGAUGACGGCCUUCGGGUUGUAAACCUCUUUCAGCAUCGACGAAGCGAAAGUGACGGUAGGUGCAGAAGAAGGACCGGCCAACUACGUGCCAGCCGCCGCAGUAA